rnacentral:rRNA from 1 species
UACACUCCUACGGGAGGCAGCAGUGGGGAAUAUUGCACAAUGGGCGCAAGCCUGAUGCAGCCAUGCCGCGUGUAUGAAGAAGGCCUUCGGGUUGUAAAGUACUUUCAGCGGGGAGGAAGGCAAUACGGUUAAUAACCGUGUUGAUUGACGUUACCCGCAGAAGAAGCACCGGCUAACUCCGUGCCAGCAGCCGCGGUAAUACGGAGGGUGCAAGCGUUAAUCGGAAUUACUGGGCGUAAAGCGCACGCAGGCGGUCUGUCAAGUCGGAUGUGAAAUCCCCGGGCUCAACCUGGGAACUGCAUUCGAAACUGGCAGGCUUGAGUCUUGUAGAGGGGGGUAGAAUUCCAGGUGUAGCGGUGAAAUGCGUAGAGAUCUGGAGGAAUACCGGUGGCGAAGGCGGCCCCCUGGACAAAGACUGACGCUCAGGUGCGAAAGCGUGGGGAGCAAACAGGAUUAGAUACCCCGGUAGUCC